rnacentral:rRNA from 1 species
AGAGUUUGAUCAUGGCUCAGGAUUAACGCUGGCGGCGUGCAUAACACAUGCAAGUCGAACGAUGAAACUUAGUAGAUUUCUUCGGAAUGAAGCUAGUGGAUUAGUGGCGGACGGGUGAGUAACACGUGAGUAACCUGCCUUACACAAGGGGAUAGCCAUUGGAAACGAUGAAUAAUACCCUAUGAAGUAGCCUAAUCGCAUGGUUAAGCUACCAAAGUGCUUAGUGGUGUAAGAUGGACUUGCGUCUGAUUAGCUAGUUGGUGAGAUAAAAGCCCACCAAGGCGACGAUCAGUAGCCGGCUUGAGAGAGUGUACGGCCACAUUGGGACUGAGACACGGCCCAAACUCCUACGGGAGGCAGCAGUGGGGAAUUUUGCACAAUGGGGGAAACCCUGAUGCAGCGACGCCGCGUGAUUUAGAAAGUCUUCGGAUUGUAAAAAUCUUUUGUAUAGGAAGAAAAUGACAGUACUAUACGAAUAAGGUCCGGCUAAUUACGUGCCAGCAGCCGCGGUAAUACGUAAGGACCGAGCGUUGUCCGGAAUCAUUGGGCGUAAAGGGUACGUAGGCGGUCUAGUAAGUUAGAAGUGAAAGGCAAUAGCUCAACUAUUGUAAGCUUUUAAAACUGCUAGACUUGAGAGAUUGAAGGGAAAGUGGAAUUCCUAGUGUAGCGGUGAAAUGCGCAGAUAUUAGGAGGAAUACCAGUGGCGAAGGCGACUUUCUGGCAAUCAUCAGACGCUGAGGUACGAAAGCGUGGGUAGCAAACAGGAUUAGAUACCCUGGUAGUCCACGCCGUAAACGAUGAGUGUUAGGUGCCUGGCAAAAGUUGGGUACCGCAGCUAACGCAUUAAACACUCCGCCUGGGGAGUACGCACGCAAGUGUGAAACUCAAAGGAAUUGACGG